rnacentral:lncRNA from 12 species
AUGUCCUUUAGUAUGGAGAAAGGAACAAGAAGGGGAAACAGAACAAUCUCCAUAAGUUGGGGCAGCCGGGUGGUGGUGGUGGUUGGGAAAAGACUGUUCCAUGUGGCACGCUCUCUCGUUCUCUCGUCCUCUCUCUCUCUCUCAGCCUCUCCUGGAGCAGCUUGGAGCUCAGCUGUGAAGCCUCAGCCCUGGAGCAAGGCCUGGGGCUUUCAGACUUUUUAUGACCAGCAAGAUGGAUCUAAUUCUGGAUAUGGCAUCAGGAAAUUAAGUUGUUGCCUUGUUCACCCGCACCCUGAAUCCUGGACUUGGUCAGCAGUGAAGGUGACACUGCAGUCUACACCUGCUUUACUCUUCUCUGUCUCACUAAUUCAGAACGCAAAUGGAGAAAAGGGGCGCUCCUUACUAUACCCCCAAUCAAUCCCACCAGUAAUUUCUGAUAUACCAUUAACACAGAGCUUCUCAAAUAUUUAAGAAUUCACUUUUGAAUCAUCCUAGGAAGCAGAGCUCUUGCCUUGAGGCCCGGGGAAAGAAAGCACCUUUCUUUCCUUUCUUUCCUUUCUUUUCAGAGCACCCAUUGUUCAUUUAUCCACAGUGCCAAAAGUGACAGUCCCCACCCUUGUGGAGCUCAUAUUUUAGUGGGGGCAAGAGAGACAAUACACAAAUAUACCUCAAACAGAAGAGACCUUAGUUUUAGGUUUUGUUGGUUUUAUGGGUUUGGAACUGAAUACAGAGUCAGAGACUUGCUGAUGGUAUUGAAAGAAUUCUUUAAAUUUGUUUCUCGGGAUCCCUGGGUGCGCAGAAGUUUGGCGCCUGCCUUUGGCCCAGGGCGCGAUCCUGGAGACCUGGGGUCGAAUCCCACGUCGGGCUCCCAGUGCAUGCGAGCCUGCUUCUCCCUCUGCCUGUGUCUCUGCCUCUCUCUGUCUCUGUGACUAUCCUUAAAAAAAAAAAAAAUUAAUUAAAAAAAUUUGUUUCUCAUUACUAGACUCCACUGGCAGCAGAGCACUUCAAAUUAAAGUUGUAUUUAUUUAUUUAUUUAUUUAUUUAUUUAUUUAUUUAUUUAUUCAUUCAUUCAUUCAUUCAUGAGAUACAGAGAGAGAGAGAGAGAGAGAGAGAGGCAGAGACACAGGAGGAGGGAGAAGCAGGCUCCAUGCAGGGAGCCCGACGUGGGACCCGAUCCUGUGCCUCCAGGAUCAUGCUCUGGGCUGAAGCGGCGCCAAACCGCUGAGCCACCCAGGCUGCCCACAAAUUAAAGUUUUAAAGUAUAAGUUUCUUUCUUUCUUUCUUUCUUUCUUUCUUUCUUUCUUUCUUUCUUUCUUCUUUCUUUCUUUCCUUUCUUUUUAAGAUUUUUGUUUAUUUAUUUGACAGAGAGGACAAGCGGAGGGAAUGGCAGAGGGAAAGGGAGAAGCAGACUCUUCGCAGAGCAGGGAGCCCAAUGUGGGACUAGAUCUCAGGAUCCCAGGAUCAUGACCUG